GCGUCAGCAGCGAGCUGUGGUCCUACGAGCCCGCCGCCGGCUCAUCGCCGCCGCCCGCGGACUCUUAAUCCGCGGGUUGGGGGUUCAAGUCCCUCGCGGCGCA
rnacentral:tRNA from 1 species